ACUUUUUUUACUUUUGUAUUUAAUUUAACGGCACAUAGUUGCACGUGACUAAAUUGUGUCAGUAAUUCUUCAUAUGUCUUAAAUCUGCUUUAAAUUGGAUAUAUUGGGAAUCAAAUUUGCUCUUGCCAAAACCUUAUAGCCUAAAACUGUACAAAUGCUAAACACUAUGGACUAAAACUGCAUUUCUCCCUAUUUUUUUUUAAUAGCCUCCACCGUGUUUUCUUUUUUGACGAACCACAGCCUCCACCAUUUUUUUUUCUUUCUUGAUAUUUACAAUGACUUAAGAAUGAGAUCAAUUUAUGGCUCCUACGAACUAGUAUUGGAUGUAAGACUUGCCUCUUUUAGAGGCAAUUGCGACCCAUAUGAUUUGAUUCUAAAGUGAUUAAUAUUCUGAUUAAUUGAUUGAUAUUUUGUCAAUAAUUUAUUAGUAUUUUCUAUUUGUUAAUGAUUGAUUGGUAUCUUCUGCUAAUUGAUAUCUUAUUCAAUCAGUUAAUCAAUCAAAUCAAUCAAUUAGUCAGAAAAGGUUAUGAAUUAUGGCAAGAUUUCCUUAAUGAAAGGGAACCCCAUGGAUUUGGUAAUUGCCAGUAAGGGUCCCUAACCUAACCUAUAAAUAACCUGUGGUUGUUCAUCAACACUACACUUUUUGGUCAGACAUAGGUUAGAAACUCCUUACUUUAACUUCUUCUUCUAUAUAUUUUUAUUUUUAUUUAUUUAAAAUAGACAAGAAGGAGUCAAAAAAACAAGAACAGACUAACUUGUGCUUAACAACAAUAGUUAGAAAUAAGUCUAUUUAGAUUUUCGCUGCGCAAUACAUUAAUAUGUACAUAGUUAGUUUAACACGUGGUAUUAGAGCCAACCUUUAGCCAUGUUGUUCAGCCUAUAAUUUCAUGGCUUAUUGGCUAUCUGAGAAAAGUUUCAGCGAUUCGUAUCAAAUUUAAACUAAUCGAAUUUAAUUUUCCAUGGGAUUUAUGGUCUUAUUUUCUCAAUAGUUGAGAUUUAUUAACUCAUUCCAUGCAUAUAUAUUAUUCAUAUGAUAUUUUAUUUGGCUAUGCAGUUCGUUCAAAUUUUCUCCAAUAAUCUGGUACGAUUACAAGUAAUUUGAAUAUUUUUUGGACUUACAUAUUUGUGAUUGCAAGUGUUAUAUGUAUUGUUUGUUGUUAUCAAUAUAAUAUAACAAUUCAAGAAUCAUAUAAAGAGUUGUUAUAUUCUACAACCCAAAGAUUAAUAAUAUAUUAAUCUAUGCAAGAUGAUUGGCUGGUUUUAUAUGAAUGGAUCUACAUGUUUAUUGAAUAUCUAAUGUCUUAUUAUGAGAUAAAUAUCUAAAGGCAUAAUUUCAAUAUCAGUUUUGCCUCUAUGUUUUUGUUAUUAUUUGAAAUUACGUAGUAUUUCUGUACACUACACUUAUGUUCAUUUAUUUCAUAUUAUGAUGUCAAUAUUAGUAUGGUUGAUUACAUUUGAAUUUCAUAGAAUUUUCUUUAUAAAGUUUUUCUUGCAUCUCAAUUAUUUGAUGCAGAAAGUAUUUUAAUCACAUAAAGAUUGGUGAUUAAAGGUGUAUAAAAAAGGAAAAUUAAAAUUUUUUUUGUCAAAAUAUGAAUUAUUUGACUAUUUUGAUAUCCUUAUAAAAUCUAGCACACUGUAUGUUUAAGAGUAGCCAUAACAUUUCAAACAUUGGUGUAUUAUAAUUUUGAUCACAUAUAGUUCAGUGAUUAGAAUCAAGAAUUGCUAAUCAAUAAGUUGACUACUUAUGUUCUAUGAAUUUUCACAGGAAGUUUUCGUGUAUCGUAUAUUUAGGAAUAGUCAUAGCAUUUCAAAUAUAUGGUGUAAAGAGUUUUAAUCACAUAAGAUUAAGUGAUUAUAAAAGAAAACAAAAUUAAUGAAAUUCAGUCAACAUAAAGUUUUUUUACUAUUAACAAAUAACAAGAUGUCAUGCUAAGAAUUUCACUUUUACAUUAUAUAUUUAGAAGUAAUCACAGCAUCCCAAAUAUUUGAUGUGAAAAAAUUAUCAUCACAUACAGUUUGAUUAUUGAAAUUGUGAAUUUUUAGUCAACAUAUUAACUAGUUGACAAUUUUUCUUAUAACGCUGUAUACUUAGAAAUAGUCAUAGCAUCUUAAGUAUAUUGGUGUUUAGAGAAAUUUUAUAUAUUUUUUCACGUAUUGUUGAGUGAUUAAAGAAAUUAAAAAAAAGAAUCUAUAUCAAGUUGAAAUUAAUUCACUAAGAUAGCUAUCUGACCCCAUAGGGACGUAAUUAUUUUGGUGAGAUUAAUUGACAUAAUAUGGUAAAUUAUACAGCAAAUUAAGAGAUUUUUUUAUGCCUACAGGUAUGAAUUAUUUUUUCAAUUUAUUGUUUUAGAUUACUAGUCUUAUGAUUAAGGAAAGUAAAUUCUAUGCAUUUUGCAACCUUUGCCCACAGGAGAGUUUGAAUUUACUAUUUGAAUUGACAUAAAAUUGAUUCAAAAUCAAGUCAUAACAUUUUUAUGAUAUAGUUCUUGAUUGUUAAUUUAGUGUUUCAUUUCAAUGAUUUUAUGGUUCUUAUUAGCUUGACUUUUAAAUUCAUUCUGCUUUGUUUUGGGUGCAAGUUUUAAAUUAGUACUUUGAUGAGAAUAAACAAAUCAUUCUCAUAAUAUGGAUAUAUUUGAUAAUAUAGAGGUUGAGUGUGAGAAUUAGGAGCAAUUAAAUAGUUUGGUCAUUCUGUCUCAUAUUCACAUAAAAUAGGGUCCAAACCCUAAUUAUCUAUAGUUAAAUCUUGGAUGAAAGUCAUAAAGAAAUCGUUGCAAGUUUUAACUAGCAUCAUUUGAAAACUUUCUUUUGUGAUACUUAAAUAUUGAAGUGUAUUUUUAAAAGAUGAGAAUUUCGCUAGAUCAUGAAUUAAAGUCUUAUUAAAUUGAGAUUGAGUUAUUUCUGUAGCAUUUCAUUACUGAUUAUUUCAUAAAGAAUUUUUUAGCCAUUUAAAUCUUUAUAAUACACAUAAAGAUAUAUGGUUACUUACUUGUUUUAACCAUGUGUAUUAAAAAAGAAUAAAUAGGUUAAGAAAUAAGAGAAAGUUAACUUUCAUGAAAAAAGAAAUGCAAAUAAAGGUAAUUUUAUUCUCAUUAAAUCAAACAACAACAAAUACUAAUAUUUUUUCUAAAAAAAUGAUAUUUGAUACUUUACCUUGAGAAAAAGUCACUCAAAAGUCAAUUGAUGAGUGUUAUAAAUUCUGAUAUAUUUGAUGAAUUGACUAAAGUCUGUCAAUUUACGUUGCCAGUAUAAUAAGUUUUUGAUUAUAUGAAAAGUGAACAAAAGUUUCUUUAUAAAAACUAAAAAUAUUCACAUAAAGAUAAGUGAUGUAUUAUUGCUCAUUUUAACAAAAUGUAUUUUUUUUAAAUACUAUUUUCUUAUUACUUUAGAAUUUUCAUUUUCAAAUUAAUUACUAUUGGAUAUGAUUAUGAACCUCAUUAUCUAGUAGUAGAUUUUGAAAAUAGUAAAGUUAUUAAUUCUAAAGUUUUCAGUACCAUCAUUUGAAUUUAAGCAAUAUACUAUACUUGACCUCAAUAAUUAUAUUGGCAGCAAAUAUGUUUAUUACUUGGGGAAACUUCUUAAAUUUUGAGACAGGAGAUUGAGAUAUAUCUCUAUAAGAAAAAAUAAGAGUUGAUAAAUCAUAAAUCUUUAAAGAUUAUAGAUUUAUUAGCUAUAAUAUUUUAACUAGACUGUAUAAGUAAAGCAGACUAUUCAGCCAUUAUGGAUGCCAUAGUUUCAUUAUAGCACUAAAAUUUUGUGAAAUAAUUUUUUAUCCUUUUUUAUUGGUGAGAGAUAUUUAUUUCAUUAUUAGGUAACUAUUCAUCAAAUAUAAAGUUUCUUUCUUAUUUGAUAAAGGAUCAAUAUUUGAUAUCUUUGCAAGUAUUCAAACGAGAAAGAAAUUUUGAAAUUUAAAGGAUAUAAAAUAAAAUAAAGGCACACAAAAAAAUGGGCUAUCCUAUUUGUACUCAUUAAUUAGGAAACAAUACUAAUGAGUAAAAGCAAUGUUUGAUUGGUUACAUCCAAAUGGUGUACUUUAAAAAAAUAAUGAGAUACUUGUGGAUAUAGCUUAUUGGCAAUCUUUAUACCUUGUAAGUAAAGCCUUGAAACUAAAGUAUAUACUUAAACAAUUUCUUUCAAUGUUGUUUAAAUACCACUUUGAUUAGGGUAUGGAUGGAAAUCAAAUUUAAGAUAUUAUGUUCAAUUUUAUCAACCUACACAUAAAGAAGCUGUAUAAAGGAAACAAAACUAUCUUACUCCAAGAAAUUUAUAUUCUUUUACAUUUUAAGAAUUAUUAGAACUAGAGAUUUAAAUUUCUUAAUAAUAUGAAGUAAUUGAGAGUUUUUUGACUCUAGAAUGGAGUUUUGAAAAAGUAAGGAUUCAUAUUUGACUCCUUUGCAUAUGAAAAAUUCAUAGCUUUUUUCAAAAUCAUUAUUUAAUUAUUUUAGAUAAGCAAUCAAUUGAAAAACUUCUCGUCAAAUAAACAUAUGAAAAUAAAUCCACAUUGAACCCAUUAGUUGAGUUAUUUUUGAGACAUUGGGAGGCAAAAUGUUCUCUAUAGAAAAUUGAAACUCUCUGGUUACUAUGUUGUAUACCUACAAGUGUUUAAGGAUGAAUUAUGUAAUAUUUUCAUAAGGUGCAAAUGGAGAAAUCUCCAUAUUCAAGAAUAAUGUCACAAAUUAUUGCAAAAUCAUUACCAAAUUUUGAGGAAUUUUAUUUGGGAAAAUUAUGGCACUAAUAACUGACUAUUAGAGUUACAUUAGAUAAAUAUGAAAGUAAAUGUCCUUAACGUGACUCUUGAUAAUUAGGUAUACACAUGUGUCACCAUAAUACAUUUGUAGAAAAUGUAAAUUAAAUCAAAUUAUUGCUACUCAAUAGUAUAUUAAUUUAUUCUUAAUUUGAUCUUAGAAGAAUUUUUCUAAUAAAUUAAUAUACAUUAAUGUUAGUAGGAGUAAUACUAUGAGAGUUUUUCUUAAUCAUGAUAUUUGUUAAACACUUCUGUCAUUGGUACUCACAAAAAAGAAUGUAAAAGAUAGUUAAUCUAUCUUAAGACCUUUAUGCAAGAGUUCAUUGAUAAUAAAAAACAAGUAUUACUUUUAAAUAAUAAUAAUGAACAUAAUGUUCACAUCAUGCAUUGGAAUGAAUAUAAAUUCAUCAAGAAUGCUAUGAAAUUAUACUACAGGCAUCUGUUGUUUGGCCUACAGUUUGUCGACAUUGUAUUUUGACAAAUAUAGAUAUUCGAUUUGAUUAUACCCUUUCAUUAUGUAUACAUGCAAGAGUGGGAGUCAAGACAGACAAAUCGACAUAAAGUAUUUAAUAGUUAUUUAGAAAACAAAAAGUAGCUAUUGAGUGUAUAGUAAGGAGUCAUUAUUGUUGAUCAAACAACUAAAGAUUGCGAACUAAAUUGAUAAUGAUCAAAUAACUCAUAUGGAACUCACUAGUUCUUUUAGUAUUUUGCUAUUAUUCUUAAGCUAUUAUUAUUGUAUAGACACUUGAGAUACUUAUGUUUACAUGAUUUUAUGCAUAUUAUUAUUCAUGUAUAAAAUGAGGAUCAUGUAAUCUAUAAGUUAGACCCUGAAUAACUUAUAUGAAAUUAUUCAUAAAGCUCUUUUAAAGCACUUGAUUAGAAAGUACAAUACAUUGUAAUACAUCGAAUGAAGUGUUUGUCGAUGAGAACAUAAUCGCCAUGAUUCGUAUAUUAUUAUUUUUUAAUUAAACAACUAUUACAUAAUUGUUAAAUUUGGUGAGUGACAAACAAGAUUUAUGACCAUUUUUAAGUAGCUAGUCACUCACAAGUUAUCUGACUAUUCCAUGUGCAUCAAGUGCGAGAAUGUAAGACUUGUCUCUUUUAAAGGCAAUUGUGACCCAUAUAUGAUUUGAUUUUAAAGUGAUUGAUAUUUUGAUUAAUUAAUUGAUAUUUUGUUAAUAAUUAAUUAGUAUUUCUCAUUUGUUAAUGCUUGAUCGGUAUUUUUUGCUAAUUGAUAUCUUAUUCAAUUAAUUAAUCAAUCAAAUCAAUCAACUAGUCAGAAAAGGUUAUGGAUUAUGGUAAGGUUUCCUUGAUUGAAGGAAAUCUUAGGGAUUUGGUAAUUGCCAGUAAAGGUCCCACCAACAUAACCUAUAAAUAGCGUAUUCCAUCAACAAUACACUUUUUGAUUAGGCAUAAAUUAGAAACUCCUUACUCUAAAUUCUUCUUUUACAUAUUUUUUUUAAUAAUAGACAAGAAGGAGUCAAAGAGACAAUGAGAGACCAACUUGUCUUGACAACAAUGAUUAGAGGUAAGUUUAUUUAAAUUUUCAUUGUAUAGUAAAUUCAUAUAUACAUAGUUAGUUUAACAUUAGAUUGGCCUCUUAUCCCAUAUACAAGCUAUAGAUGAUCGCCCACUAAAAUCCCACUAAAAUGAAUCCAAAAUUGAUCCUUCACCAAUCGCCGUUGAAUCCAUGUAUUCUACAAAGAGUAGAAUCCUGGUUCCGGCGGGUCCCUUGGGUAUGAAGAUGAGCUUCUUGCGGGCAGACGGUUGUGCAUACAGUAAUAAUAGUUGUAGUAUGAUCAAUUUGCAGUUUAACGGUAAGAAGAAUAGCUAGUUUUUCACUUAUAAAUCUUUACGUGAAAGUUUUACCUGAACACAUUUUUAAUCUUUUUUAAACUUUAUUUAUAUUAAAUCAUUACAGUACAUAUUUUUAUAAAAAGAAAAUAAAAAAAACAAUCCAAACUGCAUAAGCAAGGGGAAGGUGGAAACAGAACAGCGGGUGUAGGUUCGUGCAUGGUUGCCCAAGAAUGAAAGGAACCCUUGACCUCCUCUAUUAAGGGUCCAUUUAGGGUCGUGAUAAUUUAUUGAAAAGUACUUUGUUAAUACAGGUUUUAAUAAAAGUACUUAUUAACUAUUUAAGUGUUUCUAAAUAUAUUGUUUGUAGACAUAUGUCAAUAAGUAUUUAUUGUAUUGGAUAAUGCGUAAUUUAAAAAUUUUUAAAAGUGUUUAUCUCUUUAUUUGGUUAAUAAUAUAGGAUAAAAUGAUUAAAUUUGAUGUUUUAUUUUUUAAAUCAUAAAAGUUACUCUAAAAGCUUCAAAUUUGAAUUUUUGCUAUAAGUUCUUUUAACAUCAAAAACUUUAUUCCUAAUUUUAUGAGAUGAUUUUCACGAAACACUUUAAAAAUAUUUUUAACACUUAAAAGUAUUUUUUAUCGAAAGCAACCCGACCCCAAAUGAGGUCUAAAUCAUAAACAGUACCAUUGCUAGAGGAAAUCUCCAAUCCUCGAUCACAUGGCAACUUGCUCACUGUUAAUGACGCAAAACCCCACCAGGCUUCUCACUCUUCCUGCAGCCGCAGGCGCGCUGCCGCCGCCGCCACCACCACCACCACCACCAGCAUCUUACUGCUUUUCCUUUCUAUCAUCUUAGCACACUCCAAUUGAACCUAUUUACCAGCCACCAAACCUUUGUUAGUUGAGUUAUAAUAAUCAUUUUUAAUUUAUAAGAUGUAAAUUUAAUGCUCUAAAAGUCCGUGUACAAAAACUAAAACGUAGAAUAGGACACCUAUUUUACAUUUUUGUGACUCUUUGCAAUUUUCUACCUUUUUGUAUAUCUUUCAUGAUUUUUUUUAAUGAAUUUUUGUAUUUUUGUAUUUUUUUUUUUGUCGACACAGGGGUGUCCGGGUCAAUCUUUACGGGGUCCGACUAAUCCCUUGCGGCCCGGGGCCCGGCGCCCCAACCCGGCCCGAACGCGUUAAGUGCGCGGAGGAAUCCAGCGGGGCGGAGGAAUUUUUGUAUAUACUUUCUAAUGAAAUUUAUUAAAUUGGCAUUCAACAUUGGGACCACUUUGAUCAAAAUUGAACACUUUAGUGGUUACACUUAUUAUGGCCGAAACGUUAAGGACCUAUUUGGUUGAAAUCGAUUGCUUUAGAAAGCAUAUUUGUUUUGGCCAAAACGUUGCAGACAACUAUAUUGAUUUUAUAAUUUUUUUGUGAAAACUUUUCCAAUAUUCAUUUUUGUGGCACCGUUUAAGGUUUUUUUUUUUUGGGGGGGAGGGGGGGGGGUGCUCAGGAUGGGAUGAUGCUGGAGAAGUGCUUAGGGCAUUUCUGUCGGCCUUCAAAAUGGGUUGAUGCCCAAAAUGUUCUUUACUCAAAUACUAUAUUAUUAGUUGGUCAUGUCCAAAUUAAUGGCAGGAAAGCAGUAAAAUGGUCCUUCAACUUAGGCCUCCUCUCCCGGCCGCAGGGGACUAGUCGGACCGUUUAAGGAUUGACCCGGACACCCCUGUGUCGACAAAAAAAAAAAAAAAAAAACUUAGGCCUUUUCAGAAGUCUAAGAGCCUAUUUAGGUUGGAGUUUUUAUGAAAAAAUACGCUCUAAAUAAUGUGAUGUUUGAGAGAUAAAAAAAAAGUAAUUUAAAAAUACGUCAAGGAUAUAUUUUAAAAACUUUUAUUUGACUCUGGAUAUCCUUUUGCAGUGCUCAGGCGAGUUCCUCACUUGAGAACGCUCUUGGCUACAUGGACAAAGGGUAGAGCUUACGAAAAUGAAAAGGCAAAAGAAAAAAUAAACCAUAAUUCAAGACUUCAAAGCAAACGAAAAUUUCAAAGUCAUAAUAGAAAUUUGAUAGAAAAUUUCAAUUUACACUUUAUUGUCGGUGUUGUUGGGUUAACAGUCCACCAGAAGGCGUACCACAUGCAAGUGCAUAGUCUGCCGGUCCCGGGCGCAUUUGGAUUUUUUUUUUUAGAUUUUUUUUUUGUAUUGUAAAAUUUGAUGUAUAUAAAAUAAAAUAAUAAUUAAAAAAUAUAAAAAAAAUUUUACGAAAAAUCACAAUUCAAACAAGGUAUUCAAUUUUGUUGCCUCACGUAUGAUCGUAACGAAGAGUUAUUGUUCACCCUUACGCUCUAGUGGAAAAACAAAAGGAAAAAAGAAAAACUACAUGGCAGGAUAACGUUGUUGUUGUAGGUUAUUUGGUAGUUGAGCUGUCUGUGGCUGUGGCACUCCCGGUGAAACUUGCAUGCUACCAUUAAAUUGGUGAUCCAUUUGUCCGCCCUUUCUCAACUUUGUUCAACUAGACGACUCGACUCUCCCCUGCCCAAUUCAGUCUCCCACUCCUCCUAUCCGUCCCUGGCGUCUCUUUUUCUUCUUUCGCGCUGGUUAAUUCUUGUGCAGUUCCGCAUCUUCAUUCUUCUAUACUCUUCUUUUUCUUUCUUUCUUUCUUUCUAGCCCUUUCCCUUUCAGUGUCACCAUACCAUACCCCUUUGUUUUGUGAUGGUAGUCUCAAGUCUGCAUCACUUUCUGUAUACGAUACUACUUGUAUGCAUUCAGCUGGGUCGUCAGUAAUUAUCUUUAUAUCACCCAACUAACACCUAAAAGCGGCUGCUGCUGCUGCUGCUGCUCUUCUAACAUCUUUCUCUUCCUCCACAAUUUCAAGUACUACGUGAUAAUCAGUGCUGAUACUCUCUUUCUCUUUCUUUUUCCCUUUUCCUACUAAUUAGAACCAUACAAAUUUUAUCUUGCCCGGCUUCCCCAUCCUUGUUAGUUUUUACUCUUUUGACGAAGAAAGAAUCCACGGAGAGAGAUAGAGACAUUAUGGCUACGAACAGCAGCAGCGAUAGCAUGAAUAGCAGCAUAGAAAUGGACAAGGAGAGAUUGACGGCGGAGGUGGCGUUCAAGGACUCGUCUUCCGUGGUUAUCAAAAUCCGGCGCAAGUUACCCGACUUCUUGACUUCCGUGAAGCUCAAAUACGUGAAAUUGGGAUUAGGAUAUGUAUAUUCAUGUAACCCCCCGGCCAAUGUUCUCAUGUUCCUCCUCAUUUUGCCCCUCUUUCUUGCCACUCUCAUCCAAACAGCCGAUUUGAUCAGGUUCGACCGCCUGUCGUCUCAUCUUCUGCGAGUAGUCUUAUUGCGGACCACCACCAGCAUUUCUGAUCUUCAUCAGGUGGUGGUAGCGGAGGCGGUCGACGUGAAUGACAGCAGGGUCGCCGGUCUGACUUGCUCGGUGGUGCUGAUGUUGUUGUUAGGCUUAUACUUGGCCACCCGCCCUCGCCCCAUUUAUUUGGUCGACUUCGCUUGCUACAAGCCCGAAGACCAACGCAAGAUGUCGGUGGAUUCAUUCUUGAAGAUGACCGAGGAUAACGGAGCCUUCGGCGACGACAGCCUUCAGUUCCAGAGGAGAGUAUCAGUCCGUUCGGGCCUGGGCGACGAUACCUAUCUCCCCAGGGGCAUCACCUCCAGUCCCCCCAACCUGUGCAUGGAAGAAGCCCGGGCAGAGGCGGAGGCGGUCAUGUUCGGGGCCCUGGAUUCCCUCUUCGCCAAAACAGGAGUCAGACCUCAGGACAUCGGCGUCCUCAUCGUCAACUGCAGCUUGUUCAACCCCACUCCCUCUCUCUCCUCCAUGAUCGUCAACCACUACAGGCUGAGAGCGAACAUCAAGAGCUACAACCUAGGGGGAAUGGGGUGCAGCGCAGGCCUCAUCUCCAUCGACCUGGCCAAGCACCUCCUCCUCAAAGGCAACCCAAACACCUACGCCCUGGUAGUCAGCACCGAGAACAUCACCCUCAACUGGUACUUCGGCAACGACCGCUCCAUGCUUCUGUGCAACUGCAUCUUCCGCAUGGGGGGCGCUGCCGUGCUCCUCUCCAACAGGUCCAUGGACAGGUCCCGCUCCAAGUACCAGCUUGUGCACACGGUUCGGACCCACAAGGGGGCGGACGACAACAGCUACAACUGCGUCUACCAGAGAGAAGACGAGAAAGGGACGGUGGGGGUGUCCCUAGCUCGGGAGCUCAUGGUCGUGGCUGGGGACGCUCUGAAGACCAACAUAACCACACUGGGGCCUCUGGUGUUGCCCCUGUCGGAGCAGUUGAUGUUCUUCCUUACCCUGGUAAAGAGGACGGUGUUGAGGGCCAGGAGAGUGAAGCCAUACAUCCCAGACUUCAAGCUGGCCUUCGAGCAUUUCUGCAUCCACGCGGGGGGGAGAGCAGUGCUGGAUGAGCUGCAGAAGAACUUGAACCUCUCCGACUGGCACAUGGAGCCCUCCAGGAUGACCCUCCACCGCUUCGGCAACACCUCCAGCAGCUCCCUGUGGUACGAGCUGGCCUACACCGAAGCCAAAGGCCGGGUGUCCAAGGGCCAUAGGGUGUGGCAAAUUGCUUUUGGAUCGGGCUUUAAGUGUAACAGCGCCGUCUGGAGAGCCCUCAGGCCAAUUUCCUCUGUUGCUGCUGCUGGGGAUGAUGAUGACUGCAAGGCUAACCCCUGGGCCGACUGCAUCCAUCGAUACCCGGUGAAGGUUGCCGCCGCACUUGCAUAGACCACCGGGCCUCUUUUUUUUCCUUGUUACUGCAAUUAAAUUUGAAGUUAAGAACAGACAAAAAUAUGCAGAAACUAAAUGAACCUCACUAGGCCGGCGGCCGGCCAUGUUGUUCAUUCGUUCCCAUGUAUUCUGUGCCUCCUAUAUAAUAAGCCUAGUAGAUUAAUAGUAAAAUGCGUUUAAUUCCAAUAUCUGCCACUUGAGGUCAGCAGUUGCCUAGCUAUGCAAUUACUAGUACUAGCAGAUGAUCAUUAGUAUCGGUAGAGAUUCUCAUUUAGUUCCAGUCAAUUCUUUCUCAUCAGUUUCCAGCAGAUUAUGUUCAUGCCUGGGACCGUAAACCAUUGGUGUUACCUAGUACGUAUUAUUGGUUUGAAUUUGAAAUUAAUUCGAAGUAUUACUCCAACUCCCAAGUAGUGGGAGAAUCUUCUGUUACACGUACUUUUUCUUUUUCUUUCUUUUUUGACACUCGAUAUUUAUCUAUCAUACUCUUACUCUAUCUUAUUCUAGGGGAUCCAACUGAGCCUAUUGAAAGGAAUGACGGGAACUGAACUACUAUCGGAUCAGACGGGUGCACUACACAUCCAUCUGAAUUUAAAGAGUCACACCCGUGACAAUUAGUGAGAGGUAAUUAAGGAUCCACCAAGCCUUAAAGGCUAAAUGAUAGGGAACUCCUCUAUUGGGAGUUGGUUGAGUCACCUGUUAUACGUACGAUACCACCUAAAGUGUAACUAACGCCUUGUUAGUCGUUACACAUUCUAGCAAGCAUCGUUGACACACAGUGUCCUUCCUUUUACGAAUUACUAGUAUGAGAAUAGGAUGGGACUCAAAUAUAAAGUUUUAACACCAAAUGGUCAACCACAAAACAACUGCGGUUCCAAAAAAAGGACAUCUUCUCCCCCCAAGUCUAACCUCAUAGCAAUAUAGCAUAGCAUUUCACGUACGAAUAAUCCGAACAAAGGAAAAAAAAGACAGACACAUGUCAAUUGUACUUGGAAUGUGUGCGGUGUAGAUGAGGAAAGAAAGAUGCAGCACACGAUUGAAUUGAUCAUUUUGCUCAAAGAAAACUAUUGUGCGUGUCUUGUCUUUUUUUGUUUUUUUGACAGAAAAAGAACGAACAGGUCCAGAAAAAGAAAACGUGGGAAAUUUCUGACUCGCUUUAAGAGUCUAUUCAUUAGUAACUCCCGUCCACAUACAUCACAAUCACAAUAGUUUAUACACGCACAAAAACAACCUCGCGAUCAACAUUGCUUUCGAACCAACUACUCUCACAGUAGAUGGAGAAGUUCCCGAGAGAGAAAUAAAGCCAUAGCAAAGAAUUUCAUCAACAGAUCCAGAGAGCGCAGCAGUGCUUCCUUGUUUAGAAAACCUCAUCUAAUACAUACAUUAUAAGGAAGGAAGCGUAGUACAUCUUAUUUUUAAAAAAAUUCAAAGAAUGCAUUAAUGCAUUUGUUUGAUCUAAUGAUUCAUCCCUCAACCUCCAUAUAAGCCGUUUUAGCUUUCUCCUCUCUUAUAGUAUAAUUUGCUCAGUAUUAGAUACCCAAUCUCUGUAUCAACCACGAUGCUGCUCCAUGAUCACAAGACCAUGAGAAGGUCUAUGUAUGUUAAAAGCUAAGUCGAGUACUAUUGGAGGAGCCAAUUGAAAUCAAGCAAAUUUUCGUUGAUUAUAGUCCUGGUUGCGGUGUAGACUCCAUCUUUUCUCUCAGAUCUCAAUGUUGAAUUUCAACUUUCAAGCAUUCACCAGGCGCUAGCAAUUGCCACUUUCCAUUAAAAUUGAAGAAUUAAAAUCACUAUUGCUGUGACCAACAGAGGAAUCCUCAAAAGAGAGGAAAGAAUUGAGAGACGCUUAGAGUUAUUGACAGUUAGCGUUGAAUAUUUUAAUUAAUGUUGGUGAUGUGGCAUGCAGUAUACCAUUCGGGUCUACGCAAGUUUCUGCCCAUUACGAAACGUAUUUCUGGCGGGGUCGGGGGAGGGGCGGAUACGUUAUGCGGGUGCUCCGGUAGCUAGCAGCGUCCGUCCGGCUGUGUGGUUAUGGUCAUGUCUUGUAGCUGCCAGCGCAAAUGAUGGAGAAGGCACUCGAAGGUUGUAAACUUUUAUUUUUAGUCAAUUCCAGUCUUUCUUACCUCAAAAACAAAACAAAAAAAAUUUUUUUUUUUUUUUUUGAAGAAGGCCGGUUCUGGUUGGGUAGGCCAACUGUGUGUGUGACGACUGAGACAGACAUGAAAUAUGAAAGCAGGAAGCUGGUUGUAUAUUUGUUUGGUCCUCCUCCACUCAAUUCAUUAUUGAGCUGCGGUAGAGCAGAGGGCAAAACAGGACAAAGGCUACAGUAGCUAAUUCUUGUGACUAAAAUCCAACUUCCUACGUUAGACUGUCUUAAUACUAGUAUUAGUUAGGGAUAAUUUUAGAAAUCUCCCCUUAGGUUUCUAAAUAUUUCACUGGUCUCCCUUCAAGUUUCAAAAUUUACACUUAUCUCUCUUAAAGUUAAUUAUCUUACUUAUAACAUUUAGACUCGAUCAGUAAUUAAAAAGUCAUAUUAAGAGAAGGAAGAUAACAUGAUUUCACCGUUGCUCCUCAUCUACUACAUUAUUUAGUUAAUUUAAUACCAAUCUACACAUUAAAGAAAAAUAUUAAAAUUUAUUGCCUAUCACCAAGGGUUAAAUCACAUACAAUAUCAAAAAAUAGUACAUCAUCCUACAUUUUUCACUUAUUACAAGAUCCAGAUUACUUUUUUCAAUUACAAAUUCAUCGUCAAACGUGAUCAACAAUAAAUAAUAAAAAAAAUAUGCAACCUAAACAUUACAGAGAGUGAAUUUUAACAUCAUAAAUAUAUUUGUCAACAUAUUAAAGUUAGUUGUUGACAAAUAUAUUUAUGAUGUUAAUAUUCACUCUCUGUAAUGUUUUGGUUGCAGAUUUUUUGAACUAUUUAUUAUUGAUCGUGUUUGACAAUGUGUCAGUAACUAAAAAGAGUAACUUGAAUAUUUCAUUAAGUGAAAUAUAGGAUGAUAUACCAUUUUUUAUGCUAUAUGUAAUUUGAUCCCUGAUGAUAAAUAGCAAAUUUGAGUAAUUUUUUUUAAUGUGUGGAUUAGUAUUAGAUUAAUUAAAUAAUGUGGUAGAUGAGAGACAACGGUGAAAUCAUGCUAUCUUCUCUUUCUAAAUAUCACUUUUUAAUUGUUAGUUGGACCUAAAUACUAUAAGAUAAUAGAUGUUAAGGAAGGUUAAUGUAAUUUUUAAAAUCUAAAAGGAGGCCUAUAAAAUAGAGAAGGUUUCUGAAAUUAUCCCUAUUGGUUAGUCUAAAAAUAGUGAGACGUGUGUUGUGUAUGUAUAUGUGUGUGUGUGUAGCGCGUCCAUGGUCAACCCCCAUUUCCGUCAUCUUAGAUUUGUACCGCUGCCACUGCUACUACUUGAGUGUCAGCAAGGACUAAUAAUGCUAGCCUCAGAGAGAUUUCUUUGCUUCAAAUCCGUCCAUCCGAACCAAACCUAAAUGCCUAUCACAGGUAGCAGGUAUUGACCAUUGCUACCUAAGCGAUCAUCUAACCAUGAGGAUGAGAGGACCAUAAUAUCUUACGGGCGCUGGAUAUUGACCAUUGCUUCCUAAGCGUUAAAAAAAAAAAAAAAAAAAAAAAAAAACGUGAUAGUAGUAUUGUUUAUGUAGCAGCGGUCCGUGGUUUCAGUGGGUGACUAGCAAUCCAAAAUCUACCAGCCUGCAUAUGGUUGGUCCCCAACCCCCACCGCCGGAGUAAAAUUUAAGUGAAACAGAUGAGAAACUAUAGGAUCUCCAUCAAGCUUUGACCAACUUAUCUUGGCAAAGUUUUUGGGCUAAAAUAACAGUUAGUAUAAACAUUUGGUGUCGUUCUUUCUUUUCUAUAUGGAGAAACAUGAUCUCUACUCAAACAUAAAAGUUACUUUCGCUAAGAAAAAUAACGUGUCACUUAAAAUAUAUAUAUAUAUAUAUAUAUAUAUAUAUAUAAAUAUAUAUAUUAAAAGGAAAGAACUUAGAGGGACCGUGCAUGUUUCCAGAGUUUAAAUUGGUACCAUAGAAUGGUUGAAUUCCUUGAAAGUUGAAACCCCACUUGCAUGAAAAAUUGUAGUGCGUCCUUUUCAUUCACGAGAUUUUUUCCUUUUCUUCUUCUUCUUUUUUUUUUUUUUUUUUUUUUGUUUUUGUUUUUUGUGUUUUAGGACCAAGCCAAGGCAUUCAACACCCUUUCCACAUCAUCUUCUCAAUAUAAUUUACGGAAUUUGAAAGUUUUGAAGACCUUUUUCCCAGUGCACUUGCUGACUUAAGUGCUUUCUGUUUGUUUGCUGGACUUAUAUUUGCUUUAUGUUGUGAAACUAAUAAAAUGAGGAUUAAUUUUUCCUACACUGUCAGUGUUGGAUGAGUGACGAUUAUGUAAAAUUUAAAUUUGAAAUUCAAUUUUCAUACACACACAUAUAUAUAUCAUGGAUCUAACGGUGAUAGUGUAUACACUGUUAGUGCACGUGAGAUUUAUUCAUAAUAUAAACUAUUAAAAGCAGUGAAUAAAGAAAGUAGAAUAGAGGCAAGGACAUAGUGAUAAUGUUUUCAAAGGUUAUAAAUGAGGUUUAUAUUCCCUCUCUUUGUAAGCACUACAAGAUUAAAGGUACAUGAACUCUAUUUAAGAUCCAUACAUAAAUUUAAUACUUCAAACAUAUGAAUUAAAUAAUUCUAUAAUGAACUAACGUAACUACAAAAAAAAAUCUUGUAGGAAAAUGAAUAUUCCAAUGUAUAUAUAUCGAGAAGAUAAAUGAACAUUCAUACUCAUCACUUCAUUAAUUGCAUAACACUUUAUGAUAUUUCCCCUCGGAAAAAAAGUAAGAAAGAUGAUAAUCGAAUUAUAUUAACUUUAGUUGGUGUGUUCAUUAAAAGUAUUAUAGAAUUGCAUAACUAGAGUGUUUGAGCAUAUUGGUGAGAAGUGAGAGAUUAAAAAGAGGUUCCCCUUCCCCUUUCAAUAAAAUGUCUGACAAAAACUUACGUAGCCUUAAAUGCACACCCAAAAUUAUUUGCCGAGAAGAUCAGUAGUAUUGCUCCGGAGAGAAAAUCAUGUAGAGUUGUAAUUUGCAUUGCAUCGUAAUACUUCAGUUUUCAAGAAAACAACUUUACAUGUGUUUUCAUUUGUAUUAAUUGUAUGUGAAGAAGCACGGAACUUCCCCGGACCGAGCUGACCUGAUGAGCUCGGCGUGCUGGCGAGAAGAGCGUGUCCUAAGCCUGAAAAGCGAACAAGGAGGUGAUCUGACAGGGGGGCCCCGACAUCGUUCCCGAGGGCACUCCGACGGUCAAGUUAGUUUUCCGGUGAGGGAGAUCCACGGGAAGUAAAAACGGUCGGGAGUAAUUGUCUAAUAGUGAGCGUACCUUGUGCAGUUGAUGUGUGUUACCAUUUAUACCUGCUUGGGAGUUCGACCUCCGUACGUUUCAGGACCUGUCCAAAAUAGCCUCAAUCCCGCACUGAGGGGGAGCAAUCCCGACCUAGGCGGGAUUGUUCUCUGGAGCCCUUGGACCCCUAGCGGCUGGGGGUCACGGGACGGUUCCCGUGAGCCUGAGGGUCUAAGCCCAGCUCAGGCACCCCUAGGCUGCCACGUGUGUGAGCCCAGGACGGGGCCUCUGCAUAAUGCAAGUCGGGUGUACCUCAUUUACUAGUAUCUACCUAUUCUUGAUCAAAGAUUUCAACUAAUUUUGGAUGGAUAAUUUUUUUUUUUUUUUUCGAUAUGGCUGCGGUUUGCUUUUGCAUUUUGAUGCUGAUUUUUUUGGAUAGCCAACCAAAAAAGAGUUAAAUUUCGAAUCCAUACAAGAUUAGCUUUGAGCUUGACCUUUCUUAUAAUUGCUUACUUUUUAUAGUCAAACUUUGGCAAAAUUCUUAUGAAGCCAUAAAAGCAGGCAGACAUGAUGAGCAACUUUGUAAGAUCUUGGGUCGAAAUCGGCAAGGCCCAGGUUUAAGCCCGACGAGAGGCGAAUUCCUAUUUCUGGAGAAGCAAGAAAUAGAAAUCGUCCUGGGCCACAUGUUUAAGAUCAUGUCGGUGCCUAAAGUGUAAGAAUCUACACCUCUGACUAGCACGCAAGCAGGGCCAGCAAACGAAGUUGAGGAAGAGCAGCCCCGAAAGCAGAAGAAAUGUGGGCUGCUCCACCAACAUCUUUCACCCACAAUAAUUCCCUCUCCACCGCCACCCCUGUCGAUGUCAGACUACCACCCCAGAGGUGCCGUGUUUCAUUUGCUUUCUCCCGGUGGCCUGAAAAUUGCUGCCGCGAUACGCAUGUUAACGUAGAGCGCAGGCAGAAUAAUGUUGGUGUUGGGGGCCAGGUCGCCGUCCUCACUGCCUUCAAAUCCAAGGUACAGCAGCAACAAAAACUGAAGCCCCCCUCCUCCUCUUCCUCCUCCUCCUCGCCUGGAGUAAGAGUGAAAGGGCCUAGUAGUAAUAAAAAACAAGGAAACCAGCAAGACAGAGCUGCCAAGCAAGAGGCAAAAAGGGGAGGCGGUGAAGACAGGAGGCAGUUGAGUGGCUCUGAUGUGUUGUGGGCAUUACAAAGAGCCACAGCUGAGAAAGCCAAGAAAUACCAGCAGCAGCGGCAGAAGAGAUACAAUGCAAACCAAGAAGAAGAAGAUGAGAUGAGGAGGGCCGUGGAGGUGGAUGAUGACCGCAGUAAUACUAAUGCUGGGCCUCGCUGGCUGUCCAUCCAAAGUGAUUGGGGGUUUCGGUUGGAAGCUCUGGAGAAGAGACUUGAAGAGCUUUUGCUUAUGGAUGUUUAGCGAAAUUCCAACUACACCUUUUUAGAGUUAUUAUGAGUUUCAGUUUGAGAGGCUCAAUUCCUUUGUGUAUUGUACAAACUCCUUUUAUUCUUCCACGUAAAAUGUAUGGCGUUCUUUCCCGGUUCCGCAUCUCUUCAAUAUCAAAGCUCCGUUCACGGGAAGAAGAAAUAUAUGAAUUCUCAAACGAGAACGACAUUCGUACAACACUUUCUUUUGGGGUUGUUCUAUAGAUCCAACAUCUUUAAACGAUCAGAUAAAAGCAAGAAAUGGAAGAUUAAUGUUUUAAAAGGCAUUCGCAUCCACAUUGUUUCUUCAAAAGAAGAAAUUGUUUUCGACACUCGAGAAGCUUGGGAGGUUGCUUGUACGAAGCCUACACUCUCGCCACACCAUGACCUUCGUUUUUAGUGUUCCCUUUUUUUUCCUUUCUUUGGAUCACAUGAUAGGGGAAAAAAAUAACAAAAAAAAAAAAACAAGCAAUGUGAAAAAUCAAGGGUAGGUCCUAACGCCAUCAACAGCCCGGGAUGAAUUACAGCCCCCCCUGCUAACCACGUUGCUGGCCAUUUCUUCUAAUCUGAUUCCCCCUCUUAUAUGCUCCGGAUAGCCAGUAAGACGAGCAGACUAAAUUUUAGGUGUAGCUAGGCAUAACUAACAAUCUGAGUCCAGUACAUCACAUCAAUGGUCUCCUAGUAUGGCCGAUACCGCCUGUUGCGCCCAGUGUCAUCACUGCUGGCACUUGUUCCUCCUCGGCCAGCGCCAUUGCCCCUAUCAUUCCUACGAGGUCGGACUGGCGGCAUCUGUAUGCCGGGCUGCUGACUGCUAAAACCAAAACCAGUCAGAAUCUCACCUCCAAAGCCAAAACCACAGUGGAAGGGAAGGGCAACUUACAGAACAUAGCCAAUUUGCCCAUCUGGGAGAACCAUUGGCACCAUCUGCAUCCCUGCCGGCAUUGGACCCCUUCCAUAAAUCAUAGGCUGCUGAAAAGUGAAAAAAAAAAAAAAAAACCCAUGAAAUAAGCAACUUUCUAGCAAAGCACACAUUAUUCAGUUCAUAGGCUGCUAAAGUCUGGAUUAGAAGUACCUGCUGAAAUCCAGCCACUGCACCAUAUCCAGGAGCUACUUGGCCAAAUGGAUUCAUGGGAAAACCACCAUACCCAGAAGGAGGGAUAAAAUUAGGAAGAGGUGCAGAACUGGGAGAAUGAUGAGCCACAUCAAACUUCUUUUCGCUCUGAGGCUUUGCAAGGACCACUUCCAAUACUUGGCCUGAUUCCCACAAAACUUACUAUAAUUAGCCAAACUGAGGAAAGAAACGAGACCAACUCUCAAGGGCACGAGACCAGACUGAAUAGCAUUUGAUACUUGCAUAUUUCAGGUUCAUCUUAUUUCUUCAGCAGCAUGUCAACAAAGAGGAAAAAAUGACAUCAUCCUGACUCAAACUCCAUGCGCAGAAACAUGCACACCGACAUACACUAAAUGAAACAAGAAUUAGCAGUCAACAGUUCUGCCAAAGUUGGUGUCGGUGUAUUAGUUUGCCUUGAAUAGAAAAUCGAGAUCAGAGGAGAUCUAUCACCUACUGUUUCUAAAUAUAACUAGCAUUUUAACUGAAGCUAAAAGAAGAAAAGAGGUUGAAAAGGACCAUACUAAGCCGGACAUGAGAUACACAUAUUCAGAUACCUAAUUCAGAUACACAUAUUCAACAGCCUCGUUUACAGUGGUUAGAAAUGUAACAAAGUGAUGUUUGGACUUUGAAUAGGUGCAGACAGAAGACUUAGUGAAUGACAAGGAAAUAAGAAGGCUGAGCAACGUAUGGCAUAUGCUAAUCCGAGACAAGUGAGAAGCACAAAAUUGACUUUUAAGCGUACUAUGGUUUUGUUCAAGCAAAUCAAUCUAAUUGGCAUUUCAUAAAUCCAUCAAAACUGUCAACCUAGAGCCUGUCAACCUAGAGCCAAGUAGAUCCACCAUUAACCCUUUCACCUAAAAAGGUUCAUUGGUCAUCUCUAUACAUGUACAAACCUUCAAUAUUACCCCCAAAAUUGCUUAUUAUAUGCUUGUAACUUUUUGAAAUUAUAAUUUAUCUGACUCAAAGUAGACCCAGAAAGUACCAUUAAUAUCAUAUUUUUCUGUUUCUUUGAUUGCCUUCAAAGCACUUGACCUCUCUGCAUAAUGGACAAAGCCAAAAUCCCGUUUGCCUCCACUUUUGGCAGGCGGCAUAAUGACUUUAGUGACUUCCCCAUGCUGCUGGAAUAGUUCCUUCAACUGUUCAAUAGAGGUGUUCUCAGGUAUGUUCUUCACAUAAAGAGCCUUGACCUGUAAUACUCUUAUGUGAGUUAAGCCAGAAAUCCAGUAUCACAAAAGCUUCAAAAGUGAAAAGGAAUGAUAUGAUUCAACUAUCAUUGUAAAAUUCUUCAUUCACUUAUUUUCGAUGAGAUAGAAAAUUUAUCUUUAACAUUGACAGAUAUAACAUGUAUAAUAACCUUUAGCUAGAGGAUACUAGCAGUCAAGUUAUCCCAAAAAGCAAAACUUUUGAAGAAUUAAAAAAACAAGAAUACAUUAAUGGGAGGUUGAGUUAAGCGCAGCAAGUCAUUCCGGCAACACUGAUGAAGACAUUGCAAGCAAUUCCAUCACAUGAAUUGUCCAACACAGUGCUAAAAAUUUUUCCCCAUUUUUAAAACAGAAUUGAAAGAUGUCCUGAGUAUGUAACUGCAUCAGGGGAUGAUGCUUAAAGUAAAGAAAAAUUAAGUUUUGAUACUAAGAUGACUGCUUAGUCUACAUCACUGCAAACUGCUCCUUUUACACCAGAAUAAACAAACUAUGAAAAACAUGUGUUGUUGCUCAUCAACUCCAUGUCAACUUUUUUUUUUUUUUAGUCUAAGUGACAGUUCAUACUGAAGUCCAGCAAUUGAAUUCUCUGAAUCAAACCAUAGAUAAGAUAUACCACUACUGAACUUCUAAAUUCUUGAAUCAUCUUUCCACCCCAUCAUGAUAUUCCGCCUUUGCAUGCUAAAGUUCCACAAGAUGUUAUUGAUGAAGAGUUUUACAUCAGUUCAUAUGUAGGAUUUUCUGGUUAUUUAUCUUCUGAACCCCCUCCGAAAAUAACAAGGUGGCAGCACCAAUUUAUAAACCAACUUUGCUGCCCUUUCUUUAUGACAGUUACUCAAAGAACUUCAUUAUGACUUUCUAAAAGCAGUCAGAUCCAACUAAGGAUGCAAAGAAACAAUGGUGGUUGUCAACCAAUAGUUGAAAGGGACACACCUUGCCCAUGUAAUUGUUAAUGUUCAAGUCAAUUAAUGCCUGUCCAAACAACAAUAGUCCUAAGCCACUAUAUGUGCAAUACAAAUUCUUUAGCAAUACCCAUCAGCUGCUUAUGAAAAGGUAUUGAAUUAACACUGAAUCUAAGAAUUAAGUUGCUAAAAUGGUGAAUGCCCUAAAUAUUGGCUUCAAGACAACAUAGAUACUGCAUCUGACGUGGGAGACGCAUGUAUUAGAAUUAUAAAAUAU
rnacentral:lncRNA from 1 species